ACAGGAAAUGAACAGUCCUGCGGUGCUCUGCCUGCAAUGAAAUAAGCCACUUCCACCAAGGAUAACAGUAAGCAACACGACCAAGAGAGAUGGACUCUGGGUUGGUCUUUGCAAUUCCUCAAAUGCCUCCUAGAUAUUGUCUAUCUGUCCUACCUGCCUAAAUGCCAAUAUAUGGAUCAAAACAAUAAUCACAAAGAUGAAUGACCCAAAGGAGACUUUCAGAACAGUUGAUAAUGGAGCUGAAAUAAAUCUGAUAUUUUAAGUGAUCUUUCC
rnacentral:lncRNA from 12 species